AUGGCGCCAGAAUGCAGUGAUUGCCAUGAGCUAGAGACCCUGAUGCCCCUGGGCAGCCUGGACCAUGACCAUGGCCGCGCCCAACACCUCACGGAGCCCACUGAGGAGCACAGCCUCAUGGGUAAUGUAGGAGUAGGGGACGAUGCCCUAGGAGCUGAGCUCAAGGCUGCUUGGAAUGGGUCAGUUAGUCGUAACUGGGCCAACCGGAUCACCAAAUACAGGGAUACCAUCACAGAGGACUCUCCAACGCUCAACAAUGGAACUUUGGACAUGGCCACCACAGAGAAUGGCAAGGGCGACCCUGAGGACCGACUGGGCUCCUCCCUGUGCAGCGGUAACCAGGUGGAGGCAGAGGUCAUAGUUCACUCUGAGUUGAACGACCUGGAGAAAGAGCGGCAGGAGGCGCGGAGUGACAAGGAUGAGGACUCUCAGGCCACCAGGGGGCCCUCAUUUUCCGAGGCAGCUUACUCCCCAGUCAGACAGCCUGCCCAGGCCCCUUUACACCCAAAGGAGCCAGUCAGACAGCUUGCCCAGGCACCACAACAUCCAGGGGAGCCAGUCAGACAGCCUGCCCAGGCACCACAAUAUCCAGGGGAGCCAGUCAGAGAGCCUGCCCAGGCACCACAACGUCCAUCACCAGGGGAGGAGUCCCUAGAGACACAACCCCUGCCCAAGGUCCCACCCGGCCCUGUCCUGGAGCCAGUGUUAAAUCACAAUGGGCAGCCAGAGGGCAUGGUUGGGGGCAUGGUGGGCGUGGCAGCCCAGCUGACUGUAGAUGUGGGGCGGCAUAUGGGAAUGGGGCUCACCAACGGCUUCCACUCCACCAAGCCCCUGCGGACAGGGCAGGAGACCCUGGGGAACGGGGACUCCAGACACUGCCCCCCUCUCCCGUCCCCCUCUCCUUUCGUCAGCACCGGCCUUGUCCACUCUAACUCUGCAGCGCACAGCUACCUUUGCCCUUAG
rnacentral:lncRNA from 13 species